CAGAGGUCUCAAGCGUUGUUCGGAUUCAUUGGGCGUAAAGGGUGCGUAGGUGGCGGGGUUAGUCAGGUGUGAAAUCUCGGAGCUCAACUCCGAAACUGCACUUGAUACUGCCUUGCUAGAGUACUGGAGAGGAGAUUGGAAUUUACGGUGUAGCAGUGAAAUGCGUAGAUAUCGUAAGGAAGACCAGUGGCGAAGGCGAAUCUCUGGACAGUUACUGACACUGAGGCACGAAGGCCAGGGGAGCAAACGGGAUUAGAUACCCCGGUAGUCCUGGCAGUAAACGGUGCGCGUUUGGUGUGGGAGGAUUCGACCCCUUCUGUGCCGGAGCUAACGCGUUAAACGCGCCGCCUGGGGAGUACGGUCGCAAGAUUA
rnacentral:rRNA from 1 species